AGAGUUUGAUCAUGGCUCAGAACGAACGCUGGCGGCGUGCUUAACACAUGCAAGUCGCGUGCGCAGUUUCCGUAGCAAUACGGGGAUGGGCGCACGGCGCACGGGUGCGUAACACGUGGGCAAUCUGCCCUCCGAUGGGGAAUACCCCCGCGAAAGCGGGACUAAUUCCGCAUAACAUUCCUUGGAUUAACUUUCGAGGAUUCAAAGCAGCAAUGCGUCGGAGGAGGAGCCCGCGCCCGAUUAGCUAGUUGGUGAGGUAACGGCUCACCAAGGCAAUGAUCGGUAGCUGGUCUGAGAGGAUGGCCAGCCACACUGGAACUGAGACACGGUCCAGACUCCUACGGGAGGCAGCAGUGGGGAAUCUUGCACAAUGGGCGAAAGCCUGAUGCAGCGACGCCGCGUGGGGGAUGAAGCUUUUCGGAGUGUAAACCCCUUUCGACUGGGACGAAUGCCUCGCAAGAGGAGUGACGGUACCAGUAUAAGAAGCCCCGGCUAACUACGUGCCAGCAGCCGCGGUAAGACGUAGGGGGCCAGCGUUGUUCGGAAUUACUGGGUGUAAAGGGUUCGUAGGCGGUGUGGCAAGUCGGGAGUGAAAUCUCUGGGCUCAACCCAGAGACUGCUUCCGAAACUGCUGUGCUUGAGUGUGAGAGAGGCUCGUGGAAUUGCAGGUGUAGCGGUGAAAUGCGUAGAUAUCGGGAGGAACACCUGUGGCGAAAGCGGCGCACUGGACCACAACUGACGCUGAGGCGCGAAAGCUAGGGGAGCAAACAGGAUUAGAUACCCUAGUAGUCC
rnacentral:rRNA from 1 species